rnacentral:rRNA from 1 species
AUACGGAGGGUGCAAGCGUUACUCGGAAUCACUGGGCGUAAAGGACGCGUAGGCGGGUUGGCAAGUCAGAUGUGAAAUCCUACAGCUUAACUGUAGAACUGCAUUUGAAACUGCUAACCUAGAGUAUGGGAGGGGGAGAUGGAAUUAGUGGUGUAGGGGUAAAAUCCGUAGAUAUCACUAGGAAUACCGAAAGCGAAGGCGAUCUCCUGGAACAUAACUGACACUAAGGCGUGAAAGCGUGGGGAGCAAACAGGAUUAGAAACCCUAGUAGUCC